AAUAAGGCUGGCUCUAGACCUUUGAUGAAAAUAUAGUUAACUUGGAAACAACUCCUAAUUAUUUUAAAGUGAGACUUACAGUCUUGGUCUCACAAUGCAUUAUUCAAAACAAAUGGACCAAAUAGAGCCUACUUUUACUGCAGAGAUGACAAAGGGGACAUGUCCUAACAUGUGACUUAUGACCUAUACCCACUUCUCUUCCUUUCCUCUGAGAAUGUUAUAUAAAGAAAUAAAGAACAUAAUGAAAAAAUUAAAGAAGAUUCUGGGAGCAAGAAGGAUGCUUAUUAAUUCAGACUUAGGCAACCAUGUCACUCCAAUUCCAGAAGAAGGCUGGGCAAGCAGAACUGAUAGCAGAGGAUGAAAAGCAGAGCCACCUACCAAACAGUGAGACAUUGGAUGCCUGCCUUUCCAUGUAUGACUCAGAACCUGGCAGCUGGGCUUGUACCUCCUGGCCAAGGGAUUGGAAGAUUCUUUGUGGGAAACCCAACUAUCCCAACCAAGGGGCUGCCUAGAAUGAAACCCACCAGUCAGAUCCCCACACUCUGAUGCCCACAAGGUGACAAGUCAAGCCUGGGAAAGCAGAGAAUGCAAUCGUGCUUCCCGGAGCCUCAAGUUUAAAUAUGAGCAGAUAGUCACGGGUGACCAAGCGUUUGCAGGAAGCCUCUGACAUACAUGACCAACUGAUAAACACAAGUGCAAGCCACAGAAGAUAACAUGAAAACAUUAAAGAAAACUAUAAUUAA